CAUCAGGCAGAGCCGCAGUGGCUGCAGAGGGAGAGCCCCGAGCUCAUCUCCGGUGUCUGAGCAGCCCCGGCAGCUCCAGCCCUGCCCGGUGCCGGUGCCAGGGGGGCUCCCCUGGCGCUGCCGGGGCCAGCAGGGGCUGGGUGGCUGCGUGGGCUCGGCACGGGGGCCAGCGGAGGUGGCGAUGACGCGGGAGCCAGCUCUGCGCCUUUUACCCACUUCGAACGCUUGUGAAGAAGCAAUAACAGACAGAAACCACAGCAGGGAAAGCCUCAGAGAACUCGUUUGAGCUCAUGCAAAUGCGGUGAGAGUGGCAGUCCGGGGUGACACCGGUGAUCCUCUCGCUCCUCAGCUGCGGGAGCUGCCGGAGCUGCCGCUGUUUGUCAGCCCCGCAGCUGUGGCAGCUCGGUGGCAGCUCGGUGGCAGCUCGGUGGCAGCUCGGUGGCAGCUCGGUGGCAGUGCCAGAGGCAGUGCCGGAGCCGUCGGGAGCGGCUGCAGCGAGGGCUCGGAAGGGGAAUGCUGAUCGAGCUGUGCUGGCAGCAGCCAGAAUGCCGCACAAUAAAUAGCCAUUUUAAUUACCGCACAAUA